ACGCAGGCGCGCAGCGCUCCGCAGCUGGCCGGGCUGGGACCCGCGCGGGGGGUCCCGGGGACAGGCGGCCGCAGGCGGGGGUUGUCAAGCAGGUGCCCGUGUUCUGGGGGGUGCCCGGUCUGAAGGGCCGCCUGAGGUGUGAGCAGCCACUAUUUGGAAGAUGUACUGCAGCUCACACUUCCCAGAGAGAUGCAGUGUACCCAUCAGUCAUACCAACUCUUAAUGGUCUCAGGACAAUGACAUGUUGCAUUCUUUUUAAAUAAAGGCACGUGCUUGCUCGUCUGGACACGCCCUUAGAGCAGGCUGGAUCUGGCCUGAAGAUCAGAGAUUGAGCACCACUGGUUUGCCAAUUCUUAUAAUUAUUAUUGUAAUUAUCAAAAUAUUUGGUGUGUUUUCCAGAAUCCCCAGCACCUUCCGUUAUGAAAUUAGCCAAAGUGUAGUCUGAGUCAUAUCUGUUUUGAAGAUUACAAGCCAGCUGGGCCAUUUCUCUCAACUACAGGAGGAUGACUGGCUUCAUCAAAGCCUGCUGGCUCUGCUCACGCAGAGUUUAGGAAAUCUGCAGAGCUGCACAAGAGAUUGUCUUGCAAGCCUCCCCGGCACUUGUUUUGCAGUAUGUAACUGCUCAGCAGGAUGUUACAGUGCUGCAGCUGUCCUUUGUUUCACAGAGCUGGUGUUUUGUAGAAUGUAUGACCUCUGCGUGUCCAGAUCUUCAGGCAAACAUCUGACAUACAGAUAAAUAAAUAAGAUAACAGAGAGAAGACUGAGGAAGGACACUAAGAAGAAAACAACAAUAGUCAAAUGUGAUAUCAUCUGAAUCAGAAGCGGAGCAAUUUUACAUACAACUGCUAAAAAUCUAGUAUACUGUACAAUGGGGGCAUUGCCUUUCAGAGUAAAAUCUUUAUAGACUUACUCCCAAAUGUUACUAUGCUGGUUUUGCUCCUGUUUUGAGUGUAUUUUGGAAUCUUAUCAUAGAUCAUCUGAAAAGGUGUCUGAAAAUGAAACUUUUUUCUUGAUAUUUGCAUUUCUGGUUUUUGUUAUUUAGCUUCCUCCUGUUCAAUGAUAGUAGCACAUUAGCAUGCUUUAAAAUCAUGGAUCUGUCUAGUUUUUUUUCCCCUAACAUUUUCUAUUUUUUU